rnacentral:misc_RNA from 1 species
UCUGAAGCUUGGGACUAAGAUCAAUACAAUUUGAUUUACAAGUUUUGAGUAUGGAUUCAAUAGCAAAUGCUAUUCUCAAACAUAUUCUGGGAAUGAGAUGGGUAUUUUGUUGUGCUGAAGGAGAUGAGCAUCGGAAUUAUUUCUACAACUCGGAUAUUGUAAUAAAAUAUUUCAAAAUUGUACUUAAUGCUGAUAAAAAAAAUUA